rnacentral:rRNA from 1 species
GAUGAACGCUAGCGGCAGGCCUAAUACAUGCAAGUCGAACGGUGGUAGCAAUACCAUAGUGGCGCACGGGUGCGUAACGCGUAACCAACCUGCCCGAAACUGGGGGAUAGCCCGCCGAAAGGCGGAUUAAUACCGCAUAUACUCGCAGCCUGGCAUCAGGUAACGAGGAAAGAUUUAUUGGUUUCGGAUGGGGUUGCGUGACAUUAGCUAGUUGGCGGGGUAACGGCCCACCAAGGCGACGAUGUCUAGGGGACCUGAGAGGGUGAUCCCCCACACGAGCACUGAGGUACGGGCCAGACUCCUACGGGAGGCAGCAGUAGGGAAUAUUGGGCAAUGGACGAGAGUCUGACCCAGCCAUGCCGCGUGCCGGAUGAAGGCCUUCUGGGUUGUAAACGGCUUUUCUCAGGGAAGAAAACGGGUAUGCGUACCACACUGACGGUACCUGAGGAAUAAGCACCGGCUAACUCCGUGCCAGCCGCCGCCGUAAUAC